rnacentral:rRNA from 1 species
UUCCUACGGGAGGCAGCAGUGGGGAAUAUUGGACAAUGGGGGCAACCCUGAUCCAGCAAUGCCGCGUGUGUGAAGAAGGCCUUCGGGUUGUAAAGCACUUUCAGAUGUGAGGAAAGGUAGUUGGUUAAUACCCAAUUGCUGUGACGUUAACAUCAGAAGAAGCACCGGCUAACUCCGUGCCAGCAGCCGCGGUAAUACGGAGGGUGCAAGCGUUAAUCGGAAUUACUGGGCGUAAAGCGCGCGUAGGCGGGUAUUGAAGUCAGAGGUGAAAGCCCCGGGCUUAACCUGGGAAUGGCAUUUGAUACUGGAUGGCUAGAGUGUGGUAGAGGUGAGUGGAAUUUCAGGUGUAGCGGUGAAAUGCGUAGAGAUCUGAAGGAACAUCAGUGGCGAAGGCGACUCACUGGGCCAUUACUGACGCUGAGGUGCGAAAGCGUGGGUAGCAAACAGGAUUAGAUACCCCGGUAGUCGCU